UGGGGAAUUUUGGACAAUGGGGGAAACCCUGAUCCAGCCAUCCCGCGUGUGCGAUGAAGGCCUUCGGGUUGUAAAGCACUUUUGGCAGGAAAGAAACGUCGCGGGUUAAUACCCCGCGAAACUGACGGUACCUGCAGAAUAAGCACCGGCUAACUACGUGCCAGCAGCCGCGGUAAUACGUAGGGUGCAAGCGUUAAUCGGAAUUACUGGGCGUAAAGCGUGCGCAGGCGGUUCGGAAAGAAAGAUGUGAAAUCCCAGAGCUUAACUUUGGAACUGCAUUUUUAACUACCGGGCUAGAGUGUGUCAGAGGGAGGUGGAAUUCCGCGUGUAGCAGUGAAAUGCGUAGAUAUGCGGAGGAACACCGAUGGCGAAGGCAGCCUCCUGGGAUAACACUGACGCUCAUGCACGAAAGCGUGGGGAGCAAACAGGAUUAGAUACCCUGGUAGUCCACGCCCUAAACGAUGUCAACUAGCUGUUGGGGCCUUCGGGCCUUGGUAGCGCAGCUAACGCGUGAAGUUGACCGCCUGGGGAGUACGGUCGCAAGAUUAAAACUCAAAUGAAUUGACGGGGGUCGAUACUGUUUU
rnacentral:rRNA from 1 species